UAUCUGAGAGAAGACAUUCCUGGCCAUUUAGAAAACAACAAGGUCAACAACAGCCAUGAACUUUCAUCCCUGCGAAAGGUUAGAUGGUUUCUCUUCCUGCUGAUCUUCAGUAUUAGAGCAGAUUCCUUCUUGUCAGGAAGCGUUAUAGACCCUUAAGUAAAGGAAGGUAUAUUGGGAAUGGAUGGCUGUUUAAACUGAGUGAAGAAGUCUGUUUCCUGUAGUGUUAGAUAAUGAAAGAGCCAGAAGAACAGGGACAGAGGACUGGAUGAUCAAUCAAUCAACUAACUGGGUAAAAAGCCCUCAAAAUUUGAGAAUUCACUAUGUAGUGUAAUAUUACAUUCUAAAUACUAUCCAUUCUAUAAAUCAUAAUCUAGAUUUAGAUCCUAACCCUUUCCCAGAGCAAGUUUGUAUUUGGACAAUAGAAAUUCUUAGUCUUAACUAGGGUGAGGCUGUUGUUUCAAAUCUGGACCAUACGAUACAUUUCAUGAAAGUAUAGAUUACCUUUAGAUAGCUAAGGGAAACAACCAGUGCUCUUCUCCCUCUCCUUCAGUGCAAAACUCAGUAUUUAUUGAGGCACAUAGUAUGUAUAAUGCACUGUUUACAAAAGAGUGAAG